AAACAGGUUAAUAUUCCUGUACUCGGUGUUACUGCGAAGGGGGGACGGAGAAGGCUAUGUUGGCCGGGCGACGGUUGUCCCGGUUUAAGCAUGUAGGCGGAUGUUCCAGGUAAAUCCGGAACGUUAUUAACGCUGAGGUGUGAUGACGAGGCACUACGGUGCUGAAGUGACAAAUGCCCUGCUUCCAGGAAAAGCCUCUAAGCAUCAGGUAACAUCAAAUCGUACCCCAAACCGACACAGGUGGUCAGGUAGAG
rnacentral:rRNA from 1 species